GUGAGGAAUAUUGGUCAAUGGGCGGAAGCCUGAACCAGCCAUCCCGCGUGAAGGAAGGCGGCCCUAUGGGUUGUAAACUUCUUUAGUACAUGAAGAACAGGAUCUACGCGUAGGUUUAUGACGGUAAUGUACAAAAAAGCAUCGGCUAACUCCGUGCCAGCAGCCGCGGUAAUACGGAGGAUGCGAGCGUUAUCCGGAUUCAUUGGGUUUAAAGGGUACGUAGGUGGCCCUGUAAGUCAGUGGUGAAAAUCUGCCGCUUAACGGUAGGGGUGCCAAUGAUACUGCGGGGCUUGAGUACAGUUGAGGUAGGUGGAAUGUGUAGUGUAGCGGUGAAAUGCAUAGAUAUUACACAGAACUCCGAUUGCGAAGGCAUCUUACUAAGCUGAAACUGACACUGAUGUACGAAAGCGUGGGGAUCGAACAGGAUUAGAAACCCUGGUAGUCC
rnacentral:rRNA from 1 species